GGGACACGUGGUAUCCUGUCUGAAUAUGGGGGGACCAUCCUCCAAGGCUAAAUACUCCUGACUGACCGAUAGUGAACCAGUACCGUGAGGGAAAGGCGAAAAGAACCCCGGCGAGGGGAGUGAAAAAGAACCUGAAACCGUGUACGUACAAGCAGUGGGAGCACGCUUAGGCGUGUGACUGCGUACCUUUUGUAUAAUGGGUCAGCGACUUAUAUUCUGUAGCAAGGUUAACCGAAUAGGGGAGCCGAAGGGAAACCGAGUCUUAACUGGGCGUUAAGUUGCAGGGUAUAGACCCGAAACCCGGUGAUCUAGCCAUGGGCAGGUUGAAGGUUGGGUAACACUAACUGGAGGACCGAACCGACUAAUGUUGAAAAAUUAGCGGAUGACUUGUGGCUGGGGGUGAAAGGCCAAUCAAACCGGGAGAUAGCUGGUUCUCCCCGAAAGCUAUUUAGGUAGCGCCUCGUGAAUUCAUCUCCGGGGGUAGAGCACUGUUUCGGCAAGGGGGUCAUCCCGACUUACCAACCCGAUGCAAACUGCGAAUACCGGA
rnacentral:rRNA from 1 species